UUUUGGAGGAACUUUUCUGCAUGUUUUUGACUUCUAAGCAUUGUUCUUUACAACCAGACACCAUAGACAGAUGAAGCCUCUGUCACCAGAGAUGGGAAGUCUCUCCAUUACUAUUCAUUGAUCAUCUUUCUGGCCUGCUCAUGGAUUGAUUCUGUCACCCAGAGGAGUUACAGAGCACCUUGGAAGGACCUCCCUGUAGGUAUAUUUUGUUUACGUGCGCAGUCAGUGCCGAACUCCAUUCCCUGCCAA